GAUGAACGCUGACCGAAUGCUCACCACAUGCAAGUCAACUUGAAUUUGGGUUUUUAACUUAGGUUUGGGUGGCGGACGGGUGAGUAACGCGUAAAGAACUUGCCUCACAGGUAGGGACAACAUUUGGAAACGAAUGCUAAUACCUAAUAUUAUGAUAAUAGGGCAUCCUAUAAUUAUGAAAGCUAUAAGCGCUGUGAGAGAGCUUUGCGUCCCAUUAGCUAGUUGGAGAGGUAACGGCUCACCAAGGCGAUGAUGGGUAGCCGGCCUGAGAGGGUGAUCGGCCACAAGGGGACGGAGACACGGCCCUUACUCCUACGGGAGGCAGCAUGGGGAAUAUUGGACAAUGGACCGAGAGUCUUGAUCCACAAUUCUGUGUGCGCUAUGAAGUUUUUCUGAAUGGAAAGUGCUUUCAUUUGGGAAGAAACAAACGAUGGUGUCAACAGAAUAAUUGACGGGUAAAUACGUUCCAGCUGCCGCGGUGUGACUUAUGUCAUGAUUGUUAUCCUGAUUUAUUGUGCGAAAAGCGCGUCUGGUGGGUAAGAUAAUCUUAUGCACAAUGUUGUGCUCGUUCGGUGUUGUGGUGGAUGUGGCUCAAUUUGUGUACUUGACAAUGUAUUCGUAACUACACUUGAAGAUGUUAAUGUCGUAUAUACUUGUCUCACGCCCUAUUGCUGAACUCAUACAAUGGUACUAUAUAGUUGUAGAUUGUGCUGCUGUUGUGUUGCUGUUUGUGUUUAUGUCUAUGUAUUGUGUGUGUGUGUUCUGAUGUGGUGUCAUAGCUGCGUUUACUGUUGCUGUAUCGCUGUGCUCAAGAUAUAUUACUGUAGUUCCUGUAUAUGUGUCUGCCUAUCUGCCCCUGUCCUGCCUGUUCUCACCC
rnacentral:rRNA from 1 species